rnacentral:rRNA from 1 species
CUGGCUUUAGGUCUGGGACAACCACUGGAAACGGUGGCUAAUACCGGAUGUGCCCUUCGGGGUGAAAGGUUAACUGCCUGAAGAUGAGCUCGCGUCUGAUUAGCUAGUAGGUGUGGUAAAGGCGCACCUAGGCGACGAUCAGUAGCUGGUCUGAGAGGACGAUCAGCCACACUGGGACUGAGACACGGCCCAGACUCCUACGGGAGGCAGCAGUGGGGAAUUUUCCGCAAUGGGCGAAAGCCUGACGGAGCAAUACCGCGUGAGGGAGGAAGGCUCUUGGGCCGUAAACCU